GGGAAGGUGGCUCAGUGGUAGAGUGCUUGCCUAGCAUGCAUGAGGCCCUAGGUUUGAUUCCUCAGUACCA
rnacentral:tRNA from 1 species